CACGUAGGGGGCGAGCGUUGUCCGGAAUCAUUGGGCGUAAAGAGCUCGUAGGCGGCUCAGUAAGUCGGGUGUGAAACCCUCAGGCUCAACCUGGGGACGCCACCCGAUACUGCUGUGGCUAGAGUCCAGUAGGGAGUGUGGAAUUCCCGGUGUGAGCGGUGAAAUGCGCAGAUAUCGGGAGGAACACCAGCGGCGAAGGCGGCACUCUGGGCUGGUACUGACGCUGAGGAGCGAAAGCGUGGGUAGCAAACAGGA
rnacentral:rRNA from 1 species